rnacentral:rRNA from 1 species
AUUGAACGCUGGCGGCAUGCUUUACACAUGCAAGUCGAACGGUAACAGGGAGCUUGCUCCGCUGACGAGUGGCGAACGGGUGAGUAAUGCGUCGGAACGUGCCGAGUAGUGGGGGAUAACGCAUCGAAAGGUGUGCUAAUACCGCAUACGUACUGAGGUAGAAAGUGGGGGACCUUCGGGCCUCACGCUAUUCGAGCGGCCGACGUCUGAUUAGCUAGUUGGUGAGGUAAAGGCUCACCAAGGCGACGAUCAGUAGCGGGUCUGAGAGGAUGAUCCGCCACACUGGGACUGAGACACGGCCCAGACUCCUACGGGAGGCAGCAGUGGGGAAUUUCGGACAAUGGGCGCAAGCCUGAUCCAGCCAUGCCGCGUGUCUGAAGAAGGCCUUCGGGUUGUAAAGGACUUUUGUCCGGGAGCAAAUGCCUGGUGUUAAUAGCAUCGGGAGCUGAGAGUACCGGUAGAAUAAGCACCGGCUAACUACGUGCCAGCCGCCGCGGUAAUAC